rnacentral:rRNA from 1 species
AAAAGCUACUAAGGGCACACGGUGGAUGCCUUGGCACGGACAGGCGACGAAGGACGUGGUAAGCUGCGAUAAGCUUCGGUGAGGUGCAAACAACCCUUGACCCGAAGAUCUCCGAAUGGGGAAACCCGGCCGGGAAGAAUCCCGGUCAUCUCCUUGCUGAACACAUAGGCUUGGAGAGGUUAACCCGGGGAACUGAAACAUCUCAGUACCCGGAGGAAGAGAAAGACAUAUCGAUUCCCCUAGUAGCGGCGAGCGAAAAGGGAAGAGCCCAAACCGAGCGGUGUUUAAGCGUCGCGCGCGUUGCACCGUCGGGGUAGCGGGAAACGCUCGGAGGAGCGCGGUUCUCCUCGGGUCGAAAGCUCUGCUAGCAGAAAGACCUGGAAAGGUCUCCCAGAGAGGGUGAUAGGCCCGUACGCGAAAGCAGUUCCUGGACCUGGAACGUUCUCCCAAGUAGUGCUGGACACGUGGAAUCCGGUACGAAUCUGGCCGGACCAUCGGCUAAGGCUAAAUACUCGUCCGUGACCGAUAGUGAACUAGUACCGUGAGGGAAAGGUGAAAAGUACCCCUGAAGGGGAGUGAAAUAGUACCUGAACCCGUGUGCUUACAAGCGGUCGGAGCCCGUUUCUAGAAAUGGGUGACGGCGUGCCUUUUGCAUAAUGAGCCGGGGAGUUACUCGUGCGUAGCAAGGUUAAGGCCGUAAAAGGCUGGAGCCGAAGGGAAACCGAGUCUGAAUAGGGCGAUUUAGUUGCGCGCGGUAGACCCGAAGCCAGGUGAUCUACCCAUGGCCAGGAUGAAGCUUCGGUAAAACGGAGUGGAGGUCCGAACCCACUAGCGAUGAAAAGCUAGGGGAUGAGCUGUGGGUAGGGGUGAAAGGCCAAACAAACCUGGAGAUAGCUGGUUCUCUUCGAAAUAGCUUUUGGGCUAGCGUUGCGAUCGAGUGUGCUGGAGGUAGAGCACUGGAUGGGCUAGGGGGCCAAAAAACCUACCAACCCCAACCAAACUCCAAAUGCCAGUACAUGCUUCGCGGCAGUCAGGCUGUGGGGGAUAAGCUUCAUAGCCGAGAGGGAAACAACCCAGACCACCAGCUAAGGCCCCUAAGCGUAUGCUGAGUGCAUUAAAGGAAGUGAGAGCGCCGAGACAGCUGGGAUGUUGGCUUAGAAGCAGCCAUACAUUUAAAGAGUGCGUAAUAGCUCACCAGUCAAGCUCUUUCGCGCCGAUAAUAAUCGGGGCUAAGCAUACCGCCGAAGCUGUGGAUUGUAGUUUUUAACUGCAAUGGUAGGAGAGCGUUCCAUUCGCACAGAAGGCAUCCUGUAAGGGGUGUUGGAGCGUAUGGAAGUGAUCAUCCCGGCAUCAGUAGCGACAAAGGAGGUUGGAAACCUCCACACCGAAAACCUAAGGUUUCCUGGGCAAGGCUGAUCCUCCCAGGGUUAGUCGGAUCCUAAGCCGAGGCCGAAAGGCGUAGGCGAUGGCAAGCAGGCAAAUAUUCCUGCACCACCUAUAGAAACGCUCGAGCGAUGGGGUGACGCAGAAGGUAAGGCCAGCCGGGUGAUGGAAAUCCCGGUUCAAGCCCGUAGGGGGGAGAGGCAGGAAAAUCCACCUCUCCACUACCCCGAGAGGUUAUGACGAGAGCCAUAGGCUCGCAAAGUGGUCCCUCCCACGCUGCCAAGAAAAACCUCUAAGCGAGUUUCUUAGGUGACCGUACCGUAAACCAACACAGGUAGGUGAGGAGAGAAUCCUAAGGUGUUCGAGCUAACUGCGGUUAAGGAACUAGGCAAAAUGGUCCCGUAACUUCGGGAGAAGGGACGCCAAGUCCGGUGAUAGCCUUGCGGCUGGAGCUGGAUUUGGCCGCAGAGAAAUGGCCUGGGCGACUGUUUACUAAAAACACAGGUCUCUGCCAAGUCGCAAGACGACGUAUAGGGACUGACACCUGCCCGGUGCUGGAGCGUUAAGGGGACGAGUUAGCCACUUCUACUAGUUGUGGCGAAGCUCCGAACUGAAGCCCCAGUAAACGGCGGCCGUAACUAUAACGGUCCUAAGGUAGCGAAAUUCCUCGUCGGGUAAGUUCCGACCCGCACGAAUGGUGUAACGACUUGGGCGCUGUCUCAACCGCAGGCUCGGCGAAGUUGCAGUAGCGGUGAAGAUACCGUUUACCCGUGGAAGGACGGAAAGACCCCGUGGACCUUUACUGCAUCCUGAUAUUGGGUUUCGCCGGAUCAUGUGCAGGAUAGGCGGGAGACUUUGAAGCCGUGGCGCCAGUUGCGGUGGAGUCAACCUUGAAAUACCGCUCUUGGUUCGUUGGAAUUCUAACGGAGGCCCGUUAUCCGGGUCCCGGACAGUGUCAGGUGGGCAGUUUGACUGGGGUGGUCGCCUCCCAAAGUGUAACGGAGGCGCGCGAAGGUAACCUCGCGUUGGUUGGAAAUCAACGUACGAGUGCAAAGGCACAAGGUUGCUUGACUGCGAGACAUACAGGUCGAGCAGGUACGAAAGUAGGGCUUAGUGAUCCUGCGGUUCCGAGUGGAAGGGCCGUAGCUCACCGGAUAAAAGGUACCCCGGGGAUAACAGGCUCAUCGCCACCGAGAGUUCGCAUCGACGUGGCGGAUUGGCACCUCGAUGUCGGCUCAGCGCAUCCUGGGGCUGGACCAGGUCCCAAGGGUUGGGCUGUUCGCCCAUUAAAGCGCUACGCGAGCUGGGUUUAGAACGUCGUGAGACAGUUCGGUCCCUAUCCUCCACGGGCGUAGGAAGUUUGAGGGGAUCUGCUCUUAGUACGAGAGGACCGGAGUGGACGCACCUCUGGUGUACCAGUUGUCCCGCCAGGGGCACCGCUGGGUAGCUAUGUGCGGACCAGGAUAAGCGCUGAAAGCAUCUAAGUGCGAAACCGGCCCCAAGACUAGACUUCCCGACCCGCAAGGGUCCUGAAGACCACUCGGAGACUACGAGUUUGAUAGGCUGCAGGUGUAAGCACAGCAAUGUGUUCAGCCGAGCAGUACUAAUCGGUCGAGCGGCUUUUUCACACUCU